rnacentral:rRNA from 1 species
GGUUAAGUGACUAAGCGUACAGGGCGGAUGCCUUGGCAAUCAGAGGCGAUGAAGGACGUGCUAAUCUGCGAAAAGCUUGGAUGAGUCGAUAAGAGGCGUUUAAUCCAAGAUAUCCGAAUGGGGAAACCCAGUAGAUGAAGAAUCUACUAUCAAUAAAUGAAUACAUAGUUUAUUGAGGCGAACCGGGAGAACUGAAACAUCUAAGUACCCCGAGGAAAAGAAAUCAACCGAGAUUCUGUGAGUAGCGGCGAGCGAAAGCGGAAGAGCCAGUAAGUUUUAGCUAGCAUAUUAGAGGAAUUGGCUGGGAAGCCAAAUCAAAGAGGGUGAUAAUCCCGUACUCGAAAGUAUGUUAGUGGAACUAAGCUUACGAUAAGUAAGGCGGGACACGAGAAAUCCUGUUUGAAGAUGGGGGGACCAUCCUCCAAGGCUAAAUACUCCUGAUUGACCGAUAGUGAACCAGUACUGUGAAGGAAAGGCGAAAAGAACCCCGGUGAGGGGAGUGAAAUAGAACCUGAAACCCUGUACGUACAAGCAGUAGGAGCGAGGGCAACCUUGUGACUGCGUACCUUUUGUAUAAUGGGUCAGCGACUUAUAUUUUGUAGCGAGGUUAACUGAAUAAGGGAGCCGAAGGGAAACCGAGUCUUAACUGGGCGUUGAGUUGCAAGGUAUAGACCCGAAACCCGGUGAUCUAGCCAUGGGCAGGUUGAAGGUUGGGUAACACUAACUGGAGGACCGAACCGACUAAUGUUGAAAAAUUAGCGGAUGACUUGUGGCUGGGGGUGAAAGGCCAAUCAAACCGGGAGAUAGCUGGUUCUCCCCGAAAUCUAUUUAGGUAGAGCCUUGAGCGGACACCUUCGGGGGUAGAGCACUGUUUCGGCUAGGGGUCCAUCCCGGAUUACCAACCCGAUGCAAACUGCGAAUACCGAAGAGUGAUACUCAGGAGACACACGGCGGGUGCUAACGUUCGUCGUGGAGAGGGAAACAACCCAGACCGCCAGCUAAGGUCCCAAAGUCUAUAUUAAGUGGGAAACGAAGUGGGAAGGCUUAGACAGCUAGGAUGUUGGCUUAGAAGCAGCCAUCAUUUAAAGAAAGCGUAAUAGCUCACUAGUCGAGUCGGCCUGCGCGGAAGAUGUAACGGGGCUCAAAUAUAGCACCGAAGCUGCGG